rnacentral:rRNA from 1 species
UACGGAGGGUGCAAGCGUUAUCCGGAUUCACUGGGUUUAAAGGGUGCGUAGGUGGGUUUGUAAGUCAGCGGUGAAAUCUCCGGGCUUAACUCGGAAAGGUCAGCCGAUACUGCGGGGCUAGAGUGCAGAAGGGGCAACUGGAAUUCUCGGUGUAGCGGUGAAAUGCGUAGAUAUCGAGAGGAACACCUGCGGCGAAGGCGGGUUGCUGGGCUGACACUGACGCUGAUUGUGCGAAAGCUAGGGGAGCGAACGGG